rnacentral:rRNA from 1 species
AACGAACGCUGGCGGCAGGCUUAACACAUGCAAGUCGAACGCAUGCCUUCGGGCAUGAGUGGCAGACGGGUGAGUAACGCGUGGGAACCUACCCCUUGGUACGGGAUAGCUCCGGGAAACUGGAGAUAAUACCGUAUGUGUCCUGAGGGACAAAGAUUCAUCGCCAAGGGAUGGGCCCGCGUCGGAUUAGCUAGUUGGUGGGGUAACGGCCUACCAAGGCGACGAUCCGUAGCUGGUCUAAGAGGAUGAUCAGCCACAUUGGGACUGAGACACGGCCCAAACUCCUACGGGAGGCAGCAGUGGGGAAUAUUGGACACUGGGCGCAAGCCUGAUCCAGCCAUGCCGCGUGAGUGAUGAAGGCCCUAGGGUUGUAAAGCUCUUUCACCGGUGACGAUAAUGACGGUAACCGGAGAAGAAGCCCCGGCUAACUUCGUG